ACGUCCUGAAAACGAAACGAAACUGAUUCAUUGAAAAGAGAUUUCGAAUCGUUUAUCAGGAUGUUG
rfam:Caenorhabditis brenneri strain PB2801 C_brenneri-6.0.1_Cont317.5, whole genome shotgun sequence.